GCUGGGCAUGGUGGCGAGUGCCUGUAAUCCCAGCUACUCGGAGGCUGAGGCAGGAGACUCACUUGAACCCUGGAAGUGGAGGUUCAGUGAGCUGAGAUCAUACCACUGCACUCCAGCCUGGGUGCUAGAGUGAGAUUCUGUCUUAA
ensembl:misc_RNA Metazoa_SRP Metazoan signal recognition particle RNA